GAUGAACGCUGGCGGCGUGCCUAAUACAUGCAAGUCGAGCGAACGGACGAGAAGCUUGCUUCUCUGAUGUUAGCGGCGGACGGGUGAGUAACACGUGGAUAACCUACCUAUAAGACUGGGAUAACUUCGGGAAACCGGAGCUAAUACCGGAUAAUAUUUUGAACCGCAUGGUUCAAAAGUGAAAGACGGUCUUGCUGUCACUUAUAGAUGGAUCCGCGCUGCAUUAGCUAGUUGGUAAGGUAACGGCUUACCAAGGCAACGAUGCAUAGCCGACCUGAGAGGGUGAUCGGCCACACUGGAACUGAGACACGGUCCAGACUCCUACGGGAGGCAGCAGUAGGGAAUCUUCCGCAAUGGGCGAAAGCCUGACGGAGCAACGCCGCGUGAGUGAUGAAGGUCUUCGGAUCGUAAAACUCUGUUAUUAGGGAAGAACAUAUGUGUAAGUAACUGUGCACAUCUUGACGGUACCUAAUCAGAAAGCCACGGCUAACUACGUGCCAGCAGCCGCGGUAAUACGUAGGUGGCAAGCGUUAUCCGGAAUUAUUGGGCGUAAAGCGCGCGUAGGCGGUUUUUUAAGUCUGACGUGAAAGCCCACGGCUCAACCGUGGAGGGUCAUUGGAAACUGGAAAACUUGAGUGCAGAAGAGGAAAGUGGAAUUCCAUGUGUAGCGGUGAAAUGCGCAGAGAUAUGGAGGAACACCAGUGGCGAAGGCGACUUUCUGGUCUGUAACUGACGCUGAUGUGCGAAAGCGUGGGGAUCAAACAGGAUUAGAUACCCUGGUAGUCCACGCCGUAAACGAUGAGUGCUAAGUGUUAGGGGGUUUCCGCCCCUUAGUGCUGCAGCUAACGCAUUAAGCACUCCGCCUGGGGAGUACGACCGCAAGGUUGAAACUCAAAGGAAUUGACGGGGACCCGCACAAGCGGUGGAGCAUGUGGUUUAAUUCGAAGCAACGCGAAGAACCUUACCAAAUCUUGACAUCCUUUGACAACUCUAGAGAUAGAGCUUUCCCCUUCGGGGGACAAAGUGACAGGUGGUGCAUGGUUGUCGUCAGCUCGUGUCGUGAGAUGUUGGGUUAAGUCCCGCAACGAGCGCAACCCUUAAGCUUAGUUGCCAUCAUUAAGUUGGGCACUCUAAGUUGACUGCCGGUGACAAACCGGAGGAAGGUGGGGAUGACGUCAAAUCAUCAUGCCCCUUAUGAUUUGGGCUACACACGUGCUACAAUGGACAAUACAAAGGGCAGCGAAACCGCGAGGUCAAGCAAAUCCCAUAAAGUUGUUCUCAGUUCGGAUUGUAGUCUGCAACUCGACUACAUGAAGCUGGAAUCGCUAGUAAUCGUAGAUCAGCAUGCUACGGUGAAUACGUUCCCGGGUCU
rnacentral:rRNA from 1 species